AGGUGCCUGCCAUUUUCUGUUUUCUUCGUGCAUACGAAGAAUAGUCUUUAAGUCAUCACCAGAAAAAGUAGCAUAGGAGAAAUUACCAAUAUUUGCAAGAACCUUCCCCUCGGGUUCUUUGGUAAGAUAUAUGUCUAGUGUUUAAGAACAUGUGGAUAACUUUCCUCGAGUGUAUAUGGACCACUCCAUCAAAAAAUUUUUUGACCAGCUCUAUAAGACUAGGCGAUGGCUUUCAUGUUCUUUCCCAUAGUGAGUUCCAUUUCUCCUUCCAUUUAUCAUCACUUAUCAACUCAUAUAGAUUGCACACAUAAGGUUCAACCAUCGAGAUAUAAGCAUCACAUAUAUCUGUAUAACCCUUAUAUAUAGUCCAUAAUGUUUUUCGAAUUUCCUAGAAGAGAUAGAGCCAUAUCCUCUCUAUUAGGCCAAACAACCAGCAGGGGUUGAUCAACCAGCAUGAGUUGAUUCUUUGGUCCAUUAAUAGACAUAAAACCAUCAUCAGUAGCUAUAUGCUGAUCAUUUUUCGCUAUCCUAUGUUGUUCCUUCACCUAGUAAACUCAUUAUUGUUUCACCGUUUGUUCCUUGACCCAUUUCUUCACUCGGUGCCAAACUCUCAUCAACUUCAUCAUCAUCUCUUAAACACUUAUCAUCUUAUAUCCAACUAUUUCCUUGACAUGUUUCUUCACCAUCAA
rnacentral:lncRNA from 1 species